rnacentral:rRNA from 1 species
CCUACGGGAGGCAGCAGUGAGGAAUAUUGGUCAAUGGACGAGAGUCUGAACCAGCCAAGUAGCGUGAAGGAUGACUGCCCUAUGGGUUGUAAACUUCUUUUAUAUGGGAAUAAAAUGUUCCACGUGUGGGAUUUUGUAUGUACCAUAUGAAUAAGGAUCGGCUAACUCCGUGCCAGCAGCCGCGGUAAUACGGAGGGUCCGAGCGUUAUCCGGAUUUAUUGGGUUUAAAGGGAGCGUAGGUGGAUUGUUAAGUCAGUUGUGAAAGUUUGCGGCUCAACCGUAAAAUUGCAGUUGAAACUGGCAGUCUUGAGUACAGUAGAGGUGAGCGGAAUUCGUGGUGUAGCGGUGAAAUGCUUAGAUAUCACGAAGAACUCCGAUUGCGAAGGCAGCUCACUGGACUGCAACUGACGCUGAGGCGCGAAAGUGUGGGUAGCAAACAGGAUUAGAUACCCGAGUAGUC